AAUCAGGCCAUGUCUAUUUAAUUCCUUAUAUAUCGUGUCCCUCAUAAUGCCUUCACUAUUGAUGUCAGGUUCAUCAGCCUAUAAUUUCCUGACUUAGUCUUUGAGCCUUUCUUAAACAACAGAACAGCAUUAGCUAUACUCCAGUCCUCAACCGUAGCCAGGGAUGUUUUAAUUGGCCAGGGAUACUGCAAUUUCUUCUCUAGCCUCCCACAAGGUCCAAAGGUGCACUACGUCAGGUUUAUCCGCUAUAAUUUGCCUCAAGACAGCAAGCACCUCCUCUUCCAUAAUCCAUAUAUGAUCUAUGACCACACUACACUUUCUUUUCUCAGUUCUAUACACACUGCUCUAUCUCCUGAGUAAAGACAGAUGCAGAAAAAUGCAUUUAAGAUUUUCCCCAUCCAUUUUGGCACCAUGUGUUGAUGACGUUGUUGAUCUUCAAGAGAUCAGUUUUGGCUCUUACUAAACUUUUGCUCUGAUCAUGAGUUAUUGACCUGAAAUGUUAGUUUUGUUUUUCUCUUUCCACAGAUUCUGCCUGACUCAUUAAGUAUCCCUGGCAUUUUCUAUUUUUGUACCAAUCAACUGGACUUCUUUCUGUAGUGAUGAUGGGGCUACUAGAUAUGGAUGCAUCUCCAGUAUUUUGUACCACUGAUAUAAUUGUGAACAUAAAUCUCCUGGUCGUGUCAAUCUGCUGAAAAUGUAAAGUGAUGACAAUUGUGAUAACAGCUGGGACAUCAGUGAAGUCUUAAUUUUGGAACAUAUGAGCUUCGAUAGCUUGGUACCACUUAAAAUAGCCCUUCUCCCAAAUCUGUGAUUCUGAAGAGAGAAUGUUAAGAACAUGCUGUUUGCAAGUUUUUGAAGAUAAUGUGAUACACAACGUAUUCGACUUUUAUCGGCCAACUAAAGAUGGGCAAUAAAUCUUGGACUUGCCAGCAAUACCUACACCCACAUCCUGGGAAGGAACAUAAAAAUUAGCUAGCAGUGUUACCUGAUGCCUGGGAGAUAUUUAAGAGUCACAAAGUACGCUCCAGGAUUUGCUAAAGGAGUAGAACAUAGAAUAUGAGAGUAAAUUAGCAAGAAAUGUAAAAACAAUUUCAGUUUAUUAGAACUGAUUACACAAUUAAAGAGUACACAAUUGUAUUUAGUAAAUGCACCUUUGGCAACAAUUAUAGCCUUGAGUCUGUGUGGAUAGGUCUCUAUCGGCUUUGCACAUCUGGGCACUGCAAUUUUUCCCCUUUUUAAAAAAAAACUGCUCAAGCUCUGUCAGAUUGCAUGGGGAUCAUGAGUGAACAGUCCCUUUCAAGCUCAGCCACAAAUUCUCAAUUGGAUUGAGGUCUGGACUCUGACUUGGCCACUCCAGGACAUUAACUUUGUUCUUUUUAAGCCAUCCCUUUAUGGCUUUAUGCUUGUGGUCAUUGUCUUGCUGGAAAACAAAUCUUCUCCCAAGUCACAGCUCUCUUGCAGACUGCAUCAGGUUUUCCUCUAGGAUUUCCCUGUAUUCUGCUGCAUGAUGCAGCCACCACCAUACUUCAUGGUGGGGAUGGUGUGCUUUUGAUGAUGUGCAAUGCAGUGUUUAGUCUGAUGGCCAAAAAGCUCAAGUUUGGUUUCAUCCCUUCUUCCAGCUGUCUUCAGAGUCUCCCACAUGCCUUCUGGCAAACUCUAGCUGAGAUUUCAUAUGAGUGUUUUUCGAUGGUAGCUUUCUCUUUGCCACUCUUCCAUAAAGCUGUGACUGGUAAGCACCCGGGCAACAGUUGUUGUAUACAUAUGCUCCCCCAUCGCAGUGACUUAGUAUCUCCUCCAGAGUCGUCAUAGGUUUUUUGGUGGCUUCCGUCACUAGUCCCUUUCUUGCAUAGUCACUCAAUUUUUGAGGAUAGCCUGCUCUAGGCAGAUUUACAGCUGUGCCAUAUUCUUUCCAUUUUUUGAUGAUUGACUUAACUCAACUCCAAGGAUAUACAGUGACUUGUAAAUCUUCUUGUGUCCAUCUCCUGAACUGUGCUUUUCAAUGAUCCUUCCAUGGAGUUGCUUGGAGUGUUCUUUUGGCUUCAUGGUGUAGUUUUAUUUUGAACCUUCCAGGUACAGAUGUACUUUUACUACAAUUUAUAGAAACACCAUGACUGCACCCCAGGUCUCCAAAAAUAAAUAUCUAUUUAACUAAUAAUGUGACUUCCAAAACCAAUUGGUGGCAUCAGUUAUGAUUUGGUGUGUCAUAUUAAAGGAGUUGAGUACAUAUGCAAUCGUUUUGUGUUUUAUAUUUGUAAUUAAUUUAGAUCCCUUUGUAGAGAUCUGAUUUCACUUUAUCCUGAAAGACACUUUUUCUGUUGAUCAGUGUCCAAAAAGUCAA